GAAACAACUCUUCCUCGAUUUCAGGCCUGCUGGCUUUUAGACUGGAAUUUAUACAAUGCUUUCCUGAUUCUCAGGCUUUAGGACUCAAACUAGAGCUGCACUAUUUGAUCUCUCCUGACAUCUUCUCAACCUCCAAAAUCAUGGUGACCAUAAUGGCUUGACUCCUGCAGGAACUAAUUAAUUAAGGAAGAUAGCACAACAGCUGUAUAGUUGGCCAUAGUGCUGAGGAGGAAAAUGCUGGAAGAGACGAGAAGAAGAAUUUGGUCAGGAGAUGGAGAUUGUGCAGAACCUCCAACUCCACCAAGAAGAAAACAGAUGUGUAAAAAAUGGAAAUCUCUGCCAAUCCAUGCAAAGGCCACAUAAAGACCAAUGAAGUACAUAAACAAGAAAACAGUGACCUUACCUGCAUUGACUAUGACUGUAUCUUCAGGGCUUCGACUAAGACCAUGCGCACAAUAGACACUCAAUAAACCAUAAGGAAACCCAGCAAGUCUAGCUCUGAAGCUUGUGAUUUUAUGCUACCCAGGACACUGUGCUGGUCAAAUGCAUUAUUUCCUCAAUUUUUACUUCUGUCUGUGAAGACUUGCCGUGGAAAUGUGGUAGAGAGCUUGGGUUGGAUUGGGUGAUAUUGCAGGAUGAAUUUCUCUGUCUCGGCAUUUUGUCUAGGUUUCUAUCUUCCUCCCUGUGUUAAGAAACCCUGUUGUUUCCUGCUCCUGAGAGUAAUGGCUUUAUGAAGAAGAGGUCAUAUACUGCUUAGGGCUUGGUGCUUCAGGAAGCAUUUCUGGUAUAUGCUGUCUGCACUCUGCUGCUGUGUUAUGACUGCUCAAUCCUUCAGGUGAGUCCUCUGUGGUCUCUCCUUGCCUGCAGUGGGGACUGUCUGGACCUUGGCCAGAGUGUGACAGGUUUACCUAGGUAUGCUCUAGUCUGCUUACUAAGAGAACUGAUGCUAUUUCUACUAGAACUGAGGCUUUGCAGAACUCUAUGAUAAGUACACGUGAUACAUGCAGGCUUUGUGUUGAUUUCCUGCGUGUGAGGCCUGCUUGGUGUUGUUAGGCACACUUGCCCUAGAAAAAACAGUACCAGCAGAGCAGAGUGGGACAGGAUUUGGUGAAAGCCAUUUAGUCACUGCUAGCACUGUGCUGUUUCCUGAAGUUGGUUUAUGCUGAGGAUGAGGGGAGGGAAUGGCACCAGCUGACUCCUUUGUCCCUGGAGAGUGGAGUCUGUGCCUGCUCCUCUCAAGGAAGGAUUCUCAGCGAGAGAACAAUUUCCCCUUCAUGCAUCACAGACACUUUUCAGAUCACAGUUUUCACACCGUCUAUCUCUGGAUUGCUUGCCUGCCUGAAGCAAUGCAGAGCAACCUGGGCUCUAUCUUAGCUAGGCUGCUGACUUUCAAAAUCCCAAACUUCUGGGACCUGGGGUGGUGGAGACCUGUCCUGGUCCUCUAGGAAAGCAUCUCACCAUGCUGGGACUGAUUCGGGGUUUGAUCCAGAAGGGCAGUAGUACCAGAGUUCAAGGACAUGGGUUCUGAAGCCAGCAGGCAAAAUAGCCAGUGCCCAGUUAGCUGUCCUCAGCAGAGGUCUCUGUGCCUAUGCUGAGGGGGUGGAGGAGGGAAAUGAUGCCCACCUUUUGUUUUGUCCCCAGAGGGACAAUGCCGCCUCUUACAGAUGUGCUCCAAAUAGAAUAAAGAUUCUCUCCCUCUGUCACUUAUGUGAUCCUCAGAUCACACAGUCUUCGAGGUUAUUUGCCUGCCUCUACUCGGGGUCUCUUUUUAGCCAAGCCUGGGGACCCCUGAAACUCUAGUCUUUGAGCCCCACAAAAAUCAGCCCCUCUCAUUUCCCCAGCUAAUGGCUUUGGGGAAGUGUGUGCUUGUCUCCGUUUUCUCCACUCUCUUUUGCCUUUCUCUGCAACCAGAGCUCACUUUCCCACCACAGCACCCACGAUCUGUUUCUCCCCCAAACUACAUCUUCACAUUUCCUACCUUCUCGAAGUAGCCUCUUCUCAGCUUCUUUGUGUAGUUUGCUCUAUCAGUUGUCAGGGUGAUUGCUUAAGUGUUCAGAAUGAUUCAAUAGUUACCCAGCUGUAUUCAAGGGAGGAGCAAGACUUGGGUCCUCCUACUAUGCUGGCGUCUUAGCUCCCCUGACCCCGCAGUGUCCUCCCUUGAGAUUCUGGAGGGUAGGAGAGAUGAUUAGCAAAGUGGAAUUCAACAUUUCUGGGUAAACUAACCAAAUUAGAUGUAAUAGCAGCCCAAAACCCAUACAAAUCCUUAACACAGUAUUCUGAUUUAACAUUAUGACUAAAUUUAACAUUAUACUUUCAGAAUAUGUAAUGCAUUAAAUGGCAAGCAAUCCUAGAACCAGUGCAGUUUUUUAUAUUCUUGAGAACAAUAGAGAAGAUAACUAUCUGCUAAGCUAUUAUUAAUAUUCUCCUUCUUUUAUGACUGCAUUUUAAAUUAGUUGACUAAUUCAAAUCCCAUUCAAUUCCUUGCCAAGAAUGACACUUUGGGAAGGAGUGUCUGAAAAGACAUUUCCUAUGUGUAUGAAAAUCAAAUAUCCUAAAUAUGAAUUUUCAGCUGGUAGAAAGUAAGCCUGUAUCAAAGACAAAUUCUGUUCUGGAUAUUCCCAAAUCUGGAAACACAGGCAAAGUUCAGAUUUUUAAAAAAAAUAAUAGCUUUAAACACAUUUCAAACAUCUUAGAAGUUAUUUUAUACAGAUGAUAAAUAUUCAUG